UACGUAGGGUGCAAGCGUUGUCCGGAAUUAUUGGGCGUAAAGGGCGCGUAGGUGGUGGCUUAAGCGUGCGGUGAAAGCUCGGGGCUCAACUCCGAGUCGGCCGUGCGAACUGGGCUCACUGGAGCAUAGUAGAGGCAGGUGGAAUUCCGGGUGUAGCGGUGGAAUGCGUAGAGAUCCGGAAGAACACCGGUGGCGAAGGCGGCCUGCUGGGCUAUGGCGUGACACUGAGGCGCGACAGCGUGGGGAGCAAACAGGG
rnacentral:rRNA from 1 species